UCUUUCACUGAUUCAAAGUAUACCGCGACAGUACGACACAUAUUUUGAGUGGCAGUGGUUGGUUUGACAACGCCCAGUAAACGCCCAACUGCUUAUAAGGCCAAAUGUACCAGUUAUCUAACGCACACUCAAGAUCAGUUCAAGCAUCAAUUAAAUUAAUAUAAGUUCAAAGAGUUCAAUCGAAGUAAUCGUUUCAUCCUAGACGAAUAUUUCAACAGUCUGAUGUUCACCAAAGCUAAAUUCGCCAGCGCGGCGAAGAUAUCGACAAGUCGAUCUCAUUGUGUCGUGGAAGUGCAAAGUGGCUUCUCCGGUGGUGUGGGAGUUGACCAAAAUCCACUGCAGAUGGGUCAGGAUCCAGUCCCACUGUCCCGGUGCCGGCCGCCAGCGGGCCAAUAUCCACCGCAACAUGGGUAUUAUAAUCCGGGAGCGUAUCCUCAACAGCAAGGAGAAUAUCCACAGCAAGGGCAAUAUCUGCAGCAAGGGCAAUAUCCGCAGCAAGGGCAAUAUCCUCAAGGACAAUAUCCGCAGCAAGGGCAAUAUCCACCACAAGGGCAAUAUCCUCAAGGACAAUAUCCGCAGAAGGGGCAAUAUCCACCUCAAGGGCAAUACCCACAACAGGGCGCCUACCCACCCCAGGGCGCUCCCCCGCAAGAAUCUGCUCCUCCAAUGGACUUUUUGAAGCCGGAGACGGCUGCCAAACUGGAGGGCCGCGCUUCGCUGACUCCGGAUGAGGAGCUGGCAGAGGAGGGCAGUGACCCCUCGCCGACGGCGCCGCCCAUCGACUCCAUGGACAAGCUGCCCGGCUACGAGGGACUCGACUUCACUGGAGGGGGAGCGCCUCCGCCGCCUCCUGCCGCCCUGCCCCCUCCGCCGGAGAAUUACGGCCAGGUGAACGUGCAGCACGAAGUACCCAGCACUGAGAGGAUCAGAGAGAUUGUGGCCGGCUACGUGGCCGAGCACUGCUGCUUCGGAAAGGGACCCAUCGAGGACAUGAAGAUUGUCACCGUGACGCCCACACCCGCCUUGAAGUACACGCUCGAGACCAUGACGGAGACGCGCAUCACGCGAUGGAACUAUACGUGCCGUGGCGUGGUGAGACCGUGCCGCCGCCCAGCGGUCCUCCGCCAGGACCCUGGGACGUGCUGAUCACCCUGGAGCCCUCCCAGUGGUUCCAGAACCUGAACUCUGUGGCGGAGGUGCCCAACACCCAGACGGUACGCGUCUGCCACAACUGCCGCGGUCUCCGGGAGACGCGCUGCACGGGCUGCCACGGACACGGAUACACACGGUGCAAUUGUUGCCAUCCGCACGGCAUAUCGACGCCCUCAAGCCGAUUGAACAACGAUUGCUCCUUCUGUCAUGGCCGAGGUUCCAGACGCUGUCUUACUUGCGAUGCUGCAGGGAUGAUUCCUUGUCCCACAUGUGAGGCCGUUGGCCACAUCCGCUGCUUCGUGGAACUCACAGUCAAAUGGAAGUGUUCAGAGCCGAGGAGCAGCGCGUGCACCCGAUCGUCGGCUUUCCGGACCGACUGGUCAGCGAGAGCUCCUGGGAGCUGGUGCACAAACACGGCCAGCAGUGGCCCCAGGAGCGGAUAUUCAGACAGCGUCACUCGGUGCAGUCUGUGCCGGUAUUUUGCGUCACCUACCACUACGACGGCAAACAGAACGACUUCUUCAUCUACGGAAACAGCCAGAAAAUCCACUUCCCCGACUACCCCAAACAGUGCUGCUGUGUGAUCAUGUGAAGUGAGAGCUUGACGUAUGAGAUAUUCGUGUGCUAGGCUGGACGAAAUCGUGUUUUGAUUGGUGUGUGUUUGAAGGACUAGGGGGAGUUCUACACAAUCUAUAGCCUUGAACUAGAGGCUCAUGGAGGCCUGCGUGUCUUUGAAGAAGCGCGACAAUGCGAUGACCCAGAAUUGAUUUAGUGACCAUUUGAAGAAUGAACUUUAUUGAUGUCUUUAUUGUCUUUUUGUCUUAUAUUUAUUUAUGUCAAUGUCUUUAUUGAUGAAUAUUUUGUUAAUUCGAUAUUGGCUAGGUAUGAGCUUAUGUAUGCUAAUUCAGAAUCUGUGAAGUAAGGGUGACUGACAUUUGCUCAAAGUCAAGGCACCUCGCAGUCUAGUUUUUAUGUUGAUGUCUGUCAGGUUAGACC
rnacentral:misc_RNA from 1 species